CAGUAGCCGCGGUAAUACGGAGGGAGCUAGCGUUGUUCGGAAUUACUGGGCGUAAAGCGCACGUAGGCGGCUUUGUAAGUUAGAGGUGAAAGCCUGGAGCUCAACUCCAGAAUUGCCUUUAAGACUGCAUCGCUUGAAUCCAGGAGAGGUGAGUGGAAUUCCGAGUGUAGAGGUGAAAUUCGUAGAUAUUCGGAAGAACACCAGUGGCGAAGGCGACUGACUGGACAAGUAUUGACGCUGAGGUGCGAAAGCGUGGGGAGCAAACAGGAUUAGAUACCCGUGUAGUCCCUGUCUCUUAUAC
rnacentral:rRNA from 1 species